CAAGUCGAGCGAAUCUGAGGGAGCUUGCUCCCAAAGGUUAGCGGCGGACGGGUGAGUAACACGUGGGCAACCUGCCUGUAAGACUGGGAUAACUUCGGGAAACCGGAGCUAAUACCGGAUAAUUCUUACCAACACAUGUUGGUAAGCUAAAAGACGGCGUAAGCUGUCACUUACAGAUGGGCCCGCGGCGCAUUAGCUAGUUGGUAAGGUAAUGGCUUACCAUGGCAACGAUGCGUAGCCGACCUGAGAGGGUGAUCGGCCACACUGGGACUGAGACACGGCCCAGACUCCUACGGGAGGCAGCAGUAGGGAAUCUUCCGCAAUGGACGAAAGUCUGACGGAGCAACGCCGCGUGAGUGAUGAAGGUUUUCGGAUCGUAAAACUCUGUUGUUAGGGAAGAACAAGUACGAGAGUAACUGCUCGUACCUUGACGGUACCUAACCAGAAAGCCACGGCUAACUACGUGCCAGCAGCCGCGGUAAUACGUAGGUGGCAAGCGUUGUCCGGAAUUAUUGGGCGUAAAGCGCGCGCAGGCGGUCCUUUAAGUCUGAUGUGAAAGCCCACGGCUCAACCGUGGAGGGUCAUUGGAAACUGGGGGACUUGAGUGCAGGAGAGAAGAGUGGAAUUCCACGUGUAGCGGUGAAAUGCGUAGAGAUGUGGAGGAACACCAGUGGCGAAGGCGACUCUUUGGCCUGUAACUGACGCUGAGGCGCAAAAGCGUGGGGAGCAAACAGGAUUAGAUACCCUGGUAGUCCACGCCGUAAACGAUGAGUGCUAAGUGUUAGAGGGUUUCCGCCCUUUUAGUGCUGAAGUAAACGCAUU
rnacentral:rRNA from 1 species